GAGCUUUAAUGGCACAAACCUUGAUCCCAGCACGAAGUUUAUUAAGAAUAAUAACUGCGAGUGCGUCACUUUCCACAUCUUCGGAAAUAAUUAGUAGAGGUCUUUGAUUCUUCACAGCCAACUCUAACACCUUCACCACUGCAUUAAGGUUCGAAAUUUUCUUCUCAUGUAUCACAAUAAGUGGAUUAUCAAGUUCGCAUUUUUGGGUUUUGGGGUUAGUAAUGAAGUAUGGAGAAAUGUAGCCCCUGUCGAGUUUCAUUCCUUCAACAACUUCCAACUCGUUGUAAAGAGUCUUUCCGUCCGAGAUGGUGAUGACUCCCUCUUUGCCAACUUUCUCCAUGGCCUUCGCAAUGAGUUCACCAAUUUCCCUUUCACCAUUGGCUGAUAUGGUACCAACCUGAGCAAUUUCCUCUGACGUGCUAAUCAUCCUUGCUCUGCUUUUCAAAUUUGCCACGACAGCAU
rnacentral:misc_RNA from 1 species